GUAAACGAUGUCUACUUGGAGGUUGUGCCCUUGAGGCGUGGCUUCCGGAGCUAACGCGUUAAGUAGACCGCCUGGGGAGUACGGCCGCAAGGUUAAAACUCAAAUGAAUUGACGGGGGCCCGCACAAGCGGUGGAGCAUGUGGUUUAAUUCGAUGCAACGCGAAGAACCUUACCUGGUCUUGACAUCCACAGAACUUUCCAGAGAUGGAUUGGUGCCUUCGGGAACUGUGAGACAGGUGCUGCAUGGCUGUCGUCAGCUCGUGUUGUGAAAUGUUGGGUUAAGUCCCGCAACGAGCGCAACCCUUAUCCUUUGUUGCCAGCGGUCCGGCCGGGAACUCAAAGGAGACUGCCAGUGAUAAACUGGAGGAAGGUGGGGAUGACGUCAAGUCAUCAUGGCCCUUACGACCAGGGCUACACACGUGCUACAAUGGCGCAUACAAAGAGAAGCGACCUCGCGAGAGCAAGCGGACCUCAUAAAGUGCGUCGUAGUCCGGAUUGGAGUCUGCAACUCGACUCCAUGAAGUCGGAAUCGCUAGUAAUCGUGGAUCAGAAUGCCACGGUGAAUACGUUCCCGGGCCUUGUACACACCGCCCGUCACACCAUGGGAGUGGGUUGCAAAAGAAGUAGGUAGCUUAACCUUCGGGAGGGCGCUUACCACUUUGUGAUUCAUGACUGGGGUGAAGUCGUAACAAGGUAACCGUAGGGGAACCUGCGGUUGGA
rnacentral:rRNA from 1 species